rfam:Felis catus isolate Cinnamon breed Abyssinian chromosome D1, whole genome shotgun sequence.
GUCUGGGUGGCUCAGUUGGUUGAGCGUCUGACUUCGGCUCAGGUCAUGAUCUCAUAGUUUGUGGGUCCGAGCCCCUCAUCGGGCU